GUGGGGAAUAUUGGACAAUGGGCGAAAGCCUGAUCCAGCCAUGCCGCGUGUGUGAAGAAGGUCUUCGGAUUGUAAAGCACUUUAAGUUGGGAGGAAGGGCAGUAAGUUAAUACCUUGCUGUUUUGACGUUACCGACAGAAUAAGCACCGGCUAACUUCGUGCCAGCAGCCGCGGUAAUACGAAGGGUGCAAGCGUUAAUCGGAAUUACUGGGCGUAAAGCGCGCGUAGGUGGUUCAGCAAGUUGGAGGUGAAAUCCCCGGGCUCAACCUGGGAACUGCCUCCAAAACUACUGGGCUAGAGUACGGUAGAGGGUAGUGGAAUUUCCUGUGUAGCGGUGAAAUGCGUAGAUAUAGGAAGGAACACCAGUGGCGAAGGCGACUACCUGGACUGAUACUGACACUGAGGUGCGAAAGCGUGGGGAGCAAACAGGAUUAGAUACCCGAGUAGUCC
rnacentral:rRNA from 1 species